GACGAACGCUGGCGGCGUGCUUAACACAUGCAAGUCGAACGGUGACCCAGGGCUUGCCCUGGUGAUCAGUGGCGAACGGUGAGUAACACGUGGGCAACCUGCCCCUGACUUCGGGAUAACUCCUCGAAAGAGGAGCUAAUACCGGAUACGACCACUUCGGACAUCCGAUGGUGGUGGAAAGUUUUUCGGUCAGGGAUGGGCCCGCGGCCUAUCAGCUAGUUGGUGGGGUAAUGGCCUACCAAGGCGACGACGGGUAGCCGGCCUGAGAGGGCGACCGGCCACACUGGGACUGAGACACGGCCCAGACUCCUACGGGAGGCAGCAGUGGGGAAUAUUGCGCAAUGGGCGAAAGCCUGACGCAGCGACGCCGCGUGAGGGAUG
rnacentral:rRNA from 1 species